AGCAUGUGGUUAAUUCGAUGCAACGCGAAGAACCUUACCUGGCUUGAACUGCAGGUAUAGCUGCCUGAAAGGUUAGUGAUCCCCUUCGGGGAACCUGUAGAGGUGCUGCAUGGCUGUCGUCAGCUCGUGUCGUGAGAUGUUGGGUUAAGUCCCGCAACGAGCGCAACCCUUGCCAUUAGUUGUCAGCGAGUCAUGUCGGAUACUCUAAUGGGACUGCCGGUGACGAGCCGGAGGAAGGUGGGAUGACGUCAAGUCAGCAUGGCCUUUAUGUCCAGGGCCACACACGUGCUACAAUGGACGGUACAGAGGGACGCAAGACCGCAAGGUGGAGCAAAUCCUCAAAACCGUUCUCAGUUCGGAUUGUAGGCUGCAAUUCGCCUACAUGAAGCUGGAAUUGCUAGUAAUCGCAGAUCAGCUACGCUGCCGGUGAACUACGUUCUCGGGCCUU
rnacentral:rRNA from 1 species